rnacentral:rRNA from 1 species
GGGGGGGGGGGGGGGGGGGGGGGGGGGGGGGGGGGGGGGGGGGGGGGGAGGGAGGGGUGGGUGGGGGGGGGGGCGGGGGGCGGGGGGGGGGGGAAUGGAGCGGAAUCUGCGUUUGCGGGGGGGGUGACGUAGGGAAGCUGACGCUAAUGUGGGCUCCGACGUACGGGGGAAAUGAGGGGGGCUUGGGAGCUUGCGCGAUUGAGUGAGCCGAUGUCGGAUGACCUAGUGGGCGGGGUAAAGGCCCACCAAGGCGACGAGCCGUCGCUGGUCUGAGAUGAUGAUCAGCCACACUGGAACUGAGCCACGGUCCAGACUCCUACGGGAGGCAGCAGUGGGGAAUAUUGGACAAUGGGCGCAAGCCUGAUCCAGCCAUACCGCGUGGGUGAAGAAGGCCUUCGGGUUGUAAAGCCCUUUUGUUGGGAAAGAAAAGCAGCAGGUUAAUACCCCGCUGUUCUGACGGUACCCAAAGAAUAAGCACCGGCUAACUUCGUG